UGACCGUAACAUGUUGAAACACUGGUUCUCAUCCGAUCAUUGAAAUUAAGCAAUGUUGAAACUGGUCUGUACUUAGAUGGGUGACUGCUUGGGAAUACCAGGUUCUGUA